UCUACACACACACAGAAACCACAAAUCUCAAAGCCAUCUUCAUCUCCUUUCUUUCAUUAAAUCCCAUGUCGACACCAAAUAAAUUUCCCUCUCUCCUUUUCUUUUUUCUCUGUGAUUAAAGACUAGAAAUUUCAGAUUGAAUUAAUAGUCUACCCUAAAGUUUUCAGAUUGAAAUUAAGUUUCAGAUUAAAUUCAUCGGUGAUUAAAUCUCGAAUUCAUUUUCUUCGAUCUGUCUCUCUAAACCCUAAAUUGUAACCCUUGAACCCAUUAAUUGCCUGCCUUAAAGUUUUGAUUUCAUCUUGAUUUUGAGCUCUGAUUUUCGGUAUUGUGACUCAUGAAGUUCUAAAAAGAAGAUUCGUAGGUUUGAAGGAAUUUUAGGGUUUUCAGUGCAUCCAAUUUCGGUAUAAGAGAACAAUCAAAAGAUGGGUUGUAAUAUGAAGAUGGUUUUUUUUUGGUUUGUAAUUGGGUUGUUGUUCUUCUCUGCAAAUUCAUGAAGUUCUGUUUAUAUGGGGUUGCUAUUGUUGCAGGCUUUAAGUUGAAAUACGAACUUAUGAUUUAUGUAUAUUUUUGAUAUCUACAGAUGAUUUCCCUCUAUUUAGAUAACUUCUCUAUGUGGGCAUUUGAUUCAACUGAAAGGGAAGGAUGUUUAAUUUGGGGAAGAACACGAAAUCAGUGUUCUUCUUCAAUAUUGUAACAGUCAUGAAACGAUGUUAAGUAAUUAUUUUUAUUUUUAUUGUUUUGUAAUUAUGAAACAGAA